GCUGGCGGCAGGCCUAACACAUGCAAGUCGAGCGGUAACAGAAAGUAGCUUGCUACUUUGCUGACGAGCGGCGGACGGGUGAGUAAUGCUUGGGAACAUGCCUUGAGGUGGGGGACAACAGUUGGAAACGACUGCUAAUACCGCAUAAUGUCUACGGACCAAAGGGGGCUUCGGCUCUCGCCUUUAGAUUGGCCCAAGUGGGAUUAGCUAGUUGGUGAGGUAAUGGCUCACCAAGGCAACGAUCCCUAGCUGGUUUGAGAGGAUGAUCAGCCACACUGGAACUGAGACACGGUCCAGACUCCUACGGGAGGCAGCAGUGGGGAAUAUUGCACAAUGGGCGAAAGCCUGAUGCAGCCAUGCCGCGUGUGUGAAGAAGGCCUUCGGGUUGUAAAGCACUUUCAGUCAGGAGGAAAGGGUGUGAGUUAAUACCUCAUAUCUGUGACGUUACUGACAGAAGAAGCACCGGCUAACUCCGUGCCAGCAGCCGCGGUAAUAC
rnacentral:rRNA from 1 species